rnacentral:rRNA from 1 species
GAUGAACGCUGGCGGCGUGCCUAAUACAUGCAAGUCGAGCGAACGGACGAGAAGCUUGCUUCUCUGAUGUUAGCGGCGGACGGGUGAGUAACACGUGGAUAACCUACCUAUAAGACUGGGAUAACUUCGGGAAACCGGAGCUAAUACCGGAUAAUAUUUUGAACCGCAUGGUUCAAAAGUGAAAGACGGUCUUGCUGUCACUUAUAGAUGGAUCCGCGCUGCAUUAGCUAGUUGGUAAGGUAACGGCUUACCAAGGCAACGAUGCAUAGCCGACCUGAGAGGGUGAUCGGCCACACUGGAACUGAGACACGGUCCAGACUCUUACGGGAGGCAGCAGUAGGGAAUCUUCCGGAAAGGGGGAAAGCCUGACGGAGCAACGCCGCGUGAGUGAUGAAGGUCUUCGGAUCGUAGAGCUCUGUUAUUAGGGAAGAACAUAUGUGUAAGUAACUGUGCACAUCUUGACGGUACCUAAUCAGAAAGCCACGGCUAACUACGUG